rnacentral:rRNA from 1 species
CUACAAUGGCGUAAACAAAGGGAAGCGAAGUGGCGACAUGGAGCAAAUCCCAAAAAUAACGUCCCAGUUCGGAUUGUAGUCUGCAACCCGACUACAUGAAGCCGGAAUCGCUAGUAAUCGCGGAUCAGAAUGCCGCGGUGAAUACGUUCCCGGGUCUUGUACACACCGCCCGUCACACCAUGGGAGUUGGAAAUGCCCGAAGUCAGUGGCCCAACCGGAAGGGGGGAGCUGCCGAAGGCAGGUUCGAUGACUGGGGUGAAGUCGUAACAAGGUAAC